GAUGAACGCUGGCGGCGUGCCUAAUACAUGCAAGUCGAGCGAACAGACGAGGAGCUUGCUCCUCUGACGUUAGCGGCGGACGGGUGAGUAACACGUGGAUAACCUACCUAUAAGACUGGUAUAACUUCGGGAAACCGGAGCUAAUACCGGAUAAUAUAUUGAACCGCAUGGUUCAAUAGUGAAAGACGGUUUUGCUGUCACUUAUAGAUGGAUCCGCGCCGCAUUAGCUAGUUGGUAAGGUAACGGCUUACCAAGGCAACGAUGCGUAGCCGACCUGAGAGAGUGAUAGGCCACACGGGAACUGGGACACGGUCCAGACUCCUAAGGGAGGCAGCAGUAGGGAAUCUUCCGCAAUGGGCGAAAGCCUGACGGAGCAAGGCCGCGUGAGUGAUGAAGGUCUUCGGAUCGUAAAACUCUGUUAUUAGGGAAGAACAAAUGUGUAAGUAACUAUGCACGUCUUGACGGUACCUAAUCAGAAAGCCACGGCUAACUACGUG
rnacentral:rRNA from 1 species